GACGAACGCUGGCGGCGUGCUUAACACAUGCAAGUCGAGCGGUAAGGCCCUUUCGGGGGUACGACGAGCGGCGAACGGGUGAGUAACACGUGGGUGACCUGCCCUCAGCUCUGGGAUAAGCCUGGGAAACUGGGUCUAAUACUGGAUAUGACUCCACGGUGCAUGUCGUGGGGUGAAAAGCCUUGUGCGGCUGAGGAUGGGCCCGCGGCCUAUCAGCUUGUUGGUGGGGGUGACGG
rnacentral:rRNA from 1 species